rnacentral:ribozyme from 2 species
GCUCUAAUGCAGCUACUAUACAGUAACGGUCGCAAGCCCGUAUAAAUGCAGAGUGGAGU